rnacentral:lncRNA from 1 species
AUGACUUUCAGUGAGGCACCUUUUGGUUGUUUUCUCAGAGACUUGCAGGGAGCUCCUGAUAGACCAGCAGGCUGUUGCCCAUGCCCUGCCUUAUAUCGAAUCUGCUGGUUCUUAUCUCACCCUUGGGAGGUCGACUUUAAUGUUGGUUGGGAUCAUUUGGGCUCUGCACCAGGAUCUAGCACUCCUGAGCACCAUGGUGAUAGAAAAAUCCAUCACGCUUCCUCACCAGCCCAGCUAUGCUUUGCUUAUGAACCCUGACAAGAUCACAGCUUGAGAUCUGAGGGUGGAUCCCUGCUCGUGAAUGUGGUUGACUCAUUCUCUCAGUGCUGUUCGUUGAAGGAUGCUGUCUAACUGAGGGUUAGAAAGAGAAAGCCUUGGAGAGGAGAGUUUUGUGAAACGUUUUCUAUAUUAACCUAUUUUAAGAGUUGUGAUUGAUCAGUAUGAAUUUCUGCAGACCAACCACUGUAAAAUUUUAGCUAGAGAAAGUCCUGAGGGUAUUCAGAAAACAUUUAUUUUAAUUCAGGAAGAAAAUAAUGUUUGAAACCGGCUGUCAAGUAGCUGUUGUGUCUGUCACCAUCACUUUUGUGUGUGUUUAAUACAUUAGAUGUACAACUGCACAGAAGAAAAUGACAGCUCAGAAGUGAAAGAUAUACAGAACAACACGGAGACUUAGAUAUCUAAGUCAUCUAUCUGCCUUUUCUGAUGAAAUUUUACCAUUUUGAAUUUGUAUCCCAAGACAGAGAUACAAGGCAGUUAUAUGGAUGAAAAUGCACGUUAGCUGUUUGAUUUAAUAUUUCAAUGCUGAAUUUCUUCAUAUAUGUACAUUUUUCAGCAACAAGGAGACACAUUACAAUGUAGAGAAUGCUACUGAGGAGAGACCAAGGGGAAUAAAGAGGGGAGCAGCAGCA